rnacentral:misc_RNA from 1 species
GUUCCGUAGGUGAACCUGCGGAAGGAUCAUUACCGAGUGAAGGUCUCUCAGACCCGACCUUCCACCCUGUUUCUUUUUCACCUUCUUGCCUUGGCGGGUCCGCCUCGAUGAGAGCCCGCCGCAAGCUCCCCGCUUUGGGCUCGUGCCCUCCAGUAGCCUCCUUACAUUCUUAAUAAAACUCUUGUCUGUGUCUCAAAAUAAUAAAAAAAACUUUCAAUAACGGAUCCCUUGGUUCUGGCAUCGACGAAGAACACAGCCGAACGGCAGAACACAAGUCAG